GCUGAUGUGAGAGUUUGCAGAUGAGAUGAAAUUCAGAUUCCCUAGUUUCUUCCUUGAGGAAAAGGAAGCUCUAAGGAAAAGGGUGAUGUUGUGAAUAAAUGGUGACGUAGAAGAGGGAGCAGAUGCAUCAUCGUCAUAAACCUAGAGAGAAGCAAAUGCAGGAGUGACAGGUGUAUAGGGAAUAUUCAUUCUGUUAUGAAGAGUAGUGUAGGUGGCCAUUAUAGCUGAUAUGUAAUUAUCGUUAGUUAGUUAUGGAAUUCUCUUUCUUAGUUGGCUUAUUGUACAA
rnacentral:misc_RNA from 1 species